rnacentral:lncRNA from 1 species
UUCAAUUCAUUAGGGGUGAUCUGUCACUUUAAGGUAGUACAUACAAGUAAGACAUUGUUGGGUAGAGCCCCACUAACCCCCCCCCACGCCCCCACGCGACUGAGGGGAGUAAAUUAUGACAGAGUCAUUCAAUUCAUUUAGGGGUGAUCUGUCACUUUAAGGUAGUACAUACAAGUAAGACAUUGUUCCUUUCCUAAAAGAACAUUUUCUAUUAACCAAUCACCAAUCUGAGGAGCACCAAACUGAUUUUAGGGGCAGAGUUACUGUAGGCUAUGGAAGAACAGUUUAAUGACACUAUCACUGUCUUUGGAGUUUAGGAGUUGGGUUGGGGCCGUGGACACAAUCUUUUUGCAAAAUAUCUGCGGUCAAAGAAACAGGUCGAACACAGUCUGAAAUUAUUAAAUAAAGGGAGACAUUCAAACUAAUAGGAAAUUAAGAAACACUAAGAAAUCCACGGUGAUUGACAAAUGAUGUGCUCCACCGCCUCUAUUCAUCAGCGCACUAAUUAUAACAACACGCCGCUUACCUUCUCUUCUCUCCGUUUUCACACUCACUGCAAGUGGACCUCUGGGCCGCCGCACAUCCAGACAGAGAUGAGCCCCGCCCACAUCCUUAAAGACGCAGUGCUACACAAGACAAGACUGUAUCGCAUGCCACGAAGUCAUCAACGUCACUAGACAGGAACAGAAAAUAAUAACUUAAAUGAGACAACGUGCUCAGCUCAUUGCUGCACUCAUGUGUUCAUCAGUGGAAUUUCACUUCACACUUCACACCAAUGUAAGUGAAAUUACAGCACACUAUGAUUUGCCUUAAACUACAUGCUAAAACAUAACACAAACCACUCAACUUACAUUCAAUCUAUGUUAUUAAACUAGGCCACACAAUGCCAGUAUUAAAUAAAUCAUGCCUGAGAAGUAAGGCUGUGAGAUAAAAUAAUAAACAAAUAUAGCAUAUCAAAUAAGAAUAAAAUAAGAAUACUUUAAUUAUUAACUGUAUUUAUUCAUUCAUCCAUUCAUCCAGUUUAUCCUUGUUAAUGAACUUGUCUGGAAACAGUACACACAAAGUCAAUUCAGCACCAAUCUGGCAUAAAAGAUUGAGAAUAGGCAUGUAUUAAAUCAAAUUAAUCUUACAGAAACAUACAUUACAAACAGACCUAUAAGAGAAUAAAGCAAACGAAAUGUCUCUCAGAGAUUAGACAUACACAACGUUUAGCUUCCUUUGUUGAAAUAAUAUAAGUUUAUAUACUAUUUUUGAUAGUUACAUCAGUUAGUUCAAUUACAAGUUUAAAUCAGCACUGAUGGAAAUGUUAUGCACUAGUCCGGCCCUCAUGAUUUUGAUCCAAAUAUAAAAGCAAAGAGAACAAGAAUUCAGUGGUCUUUAAUCUGUCACUUACCAUUUUCUCUAUUGCAAGAAACAGAUAAAGCAAUUUUCCCACUUCUCUCCUCAGUCAGUUUGAUCAUGCCAAACUUUGUUAAACAGAUUGGCUCCUGGUGAAUAGAAAUUCAUGAUUAAAAAGAGAGAACCCACAAAGAUUCAUGGGAAAUCUUCUGCAGAAUUAUUAAUGGAAAAAUUAAGCCUGACAGAAUCACACCACCCAGACACGUGUCCCCUAGGUGGCACUGACAAGUCUGGUUAAAUUCAUCUCAUCCUUGAGCAGAAAUGACAGGCUUUACUAAUAAAAACUGAUUAAACAAAAGAUUUAAAUGAUUCAACAUCCUGAAGUGGAAGGAUCUGAUGGGCUGCACAUUAAAGACAUUCAGUGCUGUGUGACAAAGGCCAGACAACAGAACAUUUAACACAAUUCACUUUACUUCAGAUACUUUUACUUCACUCUCUCACAUUAUUCACACAACAAUCAGGACUCUUUUGUUCCAUCUGUUUGUUUCUGUCUCUCUUUCCCAUCUUUUGUUUAGUUUCCAUCUUGCUCCAUCUGUUGGUUAUGAUGGUAUUAAUAAUAAAAUAUAGAAUGAGUUCAGCCUCUACAAAAGAACAUGAGUAUUGUUUUAUAAGGACAGCCUCAUUAAAGGAGUAGUUCAUCAAAAUAUGUAAAUCUGCUGAAAAUGUACUCUUCUUCAGGCCAUCCAAGAUGUAGAAGAGUUUCACUUUGUUCAUCUGAACCCUAAUCUGAACAGAUCUGGAGAAAUUUAGCAUUACAUAAUUUGCUCACCAAUGGAUACUCUGCAGUGAAUGGGUGACCGUCAGAAUGAGAGUCACAUGAGUCAUGAUAAUUUACAAGGAACUCCUGUCCAUCGAUAACAUCCUCACCAAUGGA